rnacentral:rRNA from 1 species
UACGUAGGGGGCAAGCGUUGUCCGGAAUCAUUGGGCGUAAAGCGCGUGUAGGCGGCUCAGUAAAUCCGCUCUGAAAGCCCGGGGCUCAACCCCGGGAGGCGGGUGGAUACUGCUGAGCUUGAGUCCGGAAGAGGCGAGUGGAAUUCCCGGUGUAGCGGUGAAAUGCGCAGAUAUCGGGAGGAACACCAAUGGCGAAGGCAGCUCACUGGCCCGACACUGACGCUGAGGCGCGAAAGCGUGGGGAGCAAACAGG